GAUUAUGCUAUGAUUGGGAAGAGUACACGAUAAUUCGGUCUUCAGAGAAGGGUUUGUUUGCUGAGAGAACCCGAUUCCGAACCGCUGGAAGUCCCCCAUGAGCAGCUAUGGUGAAAGGUCUUACAGGACUUAGUAAUUAUUAGCCGGCUAAACACCGUUAUUGGAAUGAAGUGCACAGGUUUUUUUCUUGUGUAAAAAGGUGGUACCGCGAAUGUCGCUCCUUUCGUCCUUUUA
rnacentral:ncRNA from 1 species